rnacentral:rRNA from 1 species
UAGUCCACGCUGUAAACGAUGAUCACUCGCUGUUAGCGAUACACAGUUAGCGGCUAAGCGAAAGCGUUAAGUGAUCCACCUGGGGAGUACGUUCGCAAGAAUGAAACUCAAAGGAAUUGACGGGGGGCCCGCACAAGCGGUGGAGCAUGUGGUUUAAUUCGAUGAUACGCGAGGAACCUUACCAGGGCUUAAAUGCAGAGCGACCGAUGCCGAAAGGUAUUUUCCCUUCGGGGCGGUCUGCAAGGUGCUGCAUGGUUGUCGUCAGCUCGUGCCGUGAGGUGUUAGGUUAAGUCCUGCAACGAGCGCAACCCCUAUCUUUAGUUGCCAGCGAUUCGGUCGGGGACUCUAAAGAGACUGCCAGCGCAAGCUGUGAGGAAGGUGGGGAUGACGUCAAAUCAUCACGGCCCUUAGUCCUGGGGCUACACACGUGCUACAAUGGGUA